GAUGAACGCUGACAGAAUGCUUAACACAUGCAAGUCAACUUGAAUUUGGGUUUUUAACUUAGGUUUGGGUGGCGGACGGGUGAGUAACGCGUAAAGAACUUGCCUCACAGCUAGGGACAACAUUUGGAAACGAAUGCUAAUACCUAAUAUUAUGAUAAUAGGGCAUCCUAUAAUUAUGAAAGCUAUAAGCGCUGUGAGAGAGCUUUGCGUCCCAUUAGCUAGUUGGAGAGGUAACGGCUCACCAAGGCGAUGAUGGGUAGCCGGCAUGAGAGGGUGAUCGGCCACAAGGGGACUGAGACACGGCCCUUACUCCUACGGGAGGCAGCAGUGGGGAAUAUUGGACAAUGGACCGAGAGUCUGAUCCAGCAAUUCUGUGUGCACGAUGAAGUUUUUCGGAAUGUAAAGUGCUUUCAGUUGGGAAGAAACAAAUGACGGUACCAACAGAAGAAGUGACGGCUAAAUACGUG
rnacentral:rRNA from 1 species